GACGAACGCUGGCGGCGUGCCUAAUACAUGCCAGUUGAGCGCUGAAGGUUGGUACUUGUACCAACUGGAUGAGCAGCGAACGGGUGAGUAACGCGUGGGGAAUCUGCCUUUGAGCGGGGGACAACAUUUGGAAACGAAUGCUAAUACCGCAUAAAAACUUUAAACACAAGUUUUAAGUUUGAAAGAUGCAAUUGCAUCACUCAAAGAUGAUCCCGCGUUGUAUUAGCUAGUUGGUGAGGUAAAGGCUCACCAAGGCGAUGAUACAUAGCCGACCUGAGAGGGUGAUCGGCCACAUUGGGACUGAGACACGGCCCAAACUCCUACGGGAGGCAGCAGUAGGGAAUCUUCGGCAAUGGACGAAAGUCUGACCGAGCAACGCCGCGUGAGUGAAGAAGGUUUUCGGAUCGUAAAACUCUGUUGGUAGAGAAGAACGUUGGUGAGAGUGGAAAGCUCAUCAAGUGACGGUAACUACCCAGAAAGGGACGGCUAACUACGUG
rnacentral:rRNA from 1 species